rnacentral:rRNA from 1 species
UACGUAGGAGGCGAGCGUUGUCCGGAAUUACUGGGCGUAAAGCGCGCGUAGGCGGUCUUUCGCGUAGGCGGUGAAAGCCCCCGGCUCACCCGGGGGAGGUCCGUCUAAACGGGGAGACUUGAGGGCGGUAGGGGCCGGUGGAACGCCCGGAGUAGCGGUGAAAUGCGUUGAGAUCGGGCAGAACACCAGUGGCGAAGGCGGCCGGCUGGGCCGUUCCUGACGCUGAGGCGCGAAAGCCAGGGGAGCGAACGGA